GCAACCCUGCACAGAGGGAAAGAAGAAUCUCAACAUACAGUCCUCAGCAGCUUUAGCAUGGGCAACAAAUUAAGUCUCUGUAAAAGGCCCAAAGGACAGGGUUUGGUGAGAUUCUGGAGAGCUGGAAACAUGGAGGUUGACAGGAAUGUAAAGAAGAACUCAUUUACAUGCCAGGAGGGUGGAACACCCCAAUUCCAUGAGGAUAACUGCUCCUGUACUCCAGACCUCACCCCAUGUGUCUCUUCAUCUGGCUGGUUAUUUGUCCUUUAAGAUCUCCUUACUCAACCAGUAAAUGUGUCUUUACAUUGUUUUAGUCUUGAACUAGAAGAUGAAAGCAUCAAAUAAAGAAAUAUACUGUGGGUAUAUGGAUUACAAAAAAAGUGUUAACUGGUAUAUCUUGUCUUGGGAAAAUAUGGCAGCUCCUAUGAAACAUCUCGGAAAAUUUGUAACUGAUGUUACAAAACACCCAGAAGAAAUAAGUGGUCUGGUGAGAAAACUUACUCAUCUUUGCCUACAUAUGUAUACAUGAGUAAUUUGAUUACACAUUUGUGCGGGAUAAUAUAACUGAAAAGAAAAUGUAAAAUUUAACUUAAAUUGUAUUUGUAAGUUGUAAUUUCAUUAAUUCUGCAUUAUUGAAGUACAUGUAGGAAAGGUGCAGAAAUGCAUCAGGCAGUUAAUACAAAUACGUUUUUU
rnacentral:lncRNA from 1 species